CUCUCGGCAUAUAGCCCUCACAGACAUGUCUCGAAAACAAACAUUUUAUGGCAUGACAACAACUUUAAAAUAAAUCACAUCUCUAUUUUUGAGAAAGGUUGAUAUUUCAUAACUUCAAAAUAUUUGCUUUAUAUCCACACUAUAGUGAUGGAUAUUAAAAGAAAGCCCACAUGUUAUGCUUAUUCCUCAACUCAAUUACUCGCUUUGGCCUCACUUGCCCUUGUGCAAUUUAUCCUUUGAAAAUAAAUAGCGUAGCACGCUAAUUAGUACUUGAACUAUUUUUCUGAAAAAGAAUGCAUGCAUCCUAUAGGAUAGCACCUACGUCUUAGUCUCGGCUUUUAUAGGAUUUUUCUUAAGGCCGCCCAUGGCGUCGCGGGGCGACGCCGGUCGGCCCUUCGCGUCUCCCACUUCCUCACUUUCCAUCUUCGGAAUCUUAAUAAAUUAUUCGGGAAUUAAUUAAUCAAGCUCCAACUCGAUUCUUAAAUUAAUUCCAUCCAAACAUAAUUAAUUUUCUAAGUCCAACAACUAAAAUCUCGGCCCAACCAUUUCCUUAAAGUAUUGGGCAGCCUUACUACUUCAAUUAAUUAGGUGGCCCAACUGCCAAAAAAAUUCAGCCCAUCCUCUUUCUCUUUUUCUUUUAUUCACUUCUGGGCCCAAAUCAUUUAAUUUCAGCCUACUAAUUAUACUCCCUUCAUCGUGCCUCCCUCUGUCUCAUUCUGAUUCCCAAUUCUGAAAAUGAAUCCCUAGCUUCAGGAUCAGCGGCGGUUUCCUCACGGCUUCUCCGGAGAAGUCGCCGCCUUCGCCCCUUCUCUCCGGCGAACUCGCGCCCAGAGUGGCCUCCCUUUCAUUCUGGCGAAAUAAUUGGCGGAAAGGAGGCGUCGCCUCUGCCACGGCAUCGCUGCCUGAUGCCGUCGUCCCUGGCGGCGCGUGCUCUCUCUCCGGGAACACGUGGCUCCUCCGCCGUCGCCAUCGGGGCCCCGUGCCAUUCUCUCGUCAGACCUCUACUUCGCGCCGCCGUCCGUCGCGUCACUCGGUCAGGCCCUUAGGGCGUAGCCGUUGCGCAAGUGCAUGCGGCUGUCACGCCGCUCCGCUCCCUUCGUCGAUUCGCAGCAGCUUCGGCCACUCUCUCGGCCUUUAGCGCCGCCGCCGUGCGCUGCCGUUCCUGACAGUGCCGCCUCCUCUGACAUCAUUCUCCGACCGACGGGUCUCCGCCCAUCGCCGUCGUGGCAGCGGCUUGCCCGUUGGCUUCGCCGCCUUCGGUUCGAGCGACAAGAGCUCCGCUGCCCUCCCUUGCCAAGCUAAGUUCUCUUUUACUACUUGGCAUACACUAUGUUUCAAAAGGUGGAAAUCGAGAAGAUAUGGAGGAAGAGAAGAGGGGAAUCUUGCUACAUCACUUACUUUGUUUCAUUACUAAGUUUAGCAAUUGUUUAAGCAUUAGACUUUGAGUAGCUUUUGACCAAGUCCCAAUUUAGCUACUAGUUUGAUGUUAGCUCCUCUCAAAGUUUAGAGUAGGGUGAGUUGUUAUUUUGUUCUCACUGUGUGGAAAUCGAGGCAUGUACUACUUUGUAUUUAAAUUUUCCUCUAAGCAUUUUUUUAUAAAGAUCUCCUCCCCUCUUAUUAUUGAAGUAAAA